GUAUAAAGUUGUACUUUAAAAAUAAAAAUAUCUAUCUAUCUAUAUAAACGUAUACAAAAAAGACAAAAUCAAAAACCGACUGUACAUGCAUGUUGGAUCGUAAACCGUAAACAGUAAAUUCUAAGCAAGAAUAUUAUUAACAUGAUUUGGUUCCAGACACUAAGUUUCGACACUAUUUAUAAAUUAGUUUUUCUGCCCGUCUGUUGUACCAAUAUCUUGUCUGAGUUGUAUUAAUUUGUAGCAACUUUUAAUCAAAUAUGAGUGAAAAUGUGCGUGAUGUUAACCACCAUGUUCAGUGUCAGAAGUUCCAGAAUGGUCAAGACAAAAUUUGUUCACGGCUAUCCAGUUUCACUAAAAAUUAAUACAUAGGAUUGACAGAAGAUGACACCAAUUUAAACUACACCUAUAGAUAUGUUUUUUUUUCUGACACACGGGCAUAUCAUAUAAAGAUACCAGAGGAACAUUCAAACUCAUAAGUCAAAAAUAAACUUACAAUGCCAUGUCUAAAAAAGAAACAGACAAACAAUAGUACACAAAACACAACGCAGAAAUACACGGAAAAUGAAGUGAUAGCAGGUGCUCCGGAAGGGUAAGAUACCAGACGAGGGCGUACAAUUAAUAAACCAAGACAUUUACAAGAUUUUUAUUGAAAACAAUUAGUGUCGUUUCCCUUACAUGAGAAAUGUUUGCCGCCUUUAAUUUCUUAUUGUUAUAAUGAUCAAUCAUGAAUUGUUUUUGUGCUAAUAAAUUGUGGCUUCUGUACAGACAAAAACGACAGAUACAGCUUUAUUUUAAUUUAUCUCAAAAGGAGAUGUUUUAUUCUAAUGGGAGAAAGGAGAACGUGGGUAGGAGAAAGGAGAAGAGGGGUAGGAGAAAGGAGAAGAGGGGUGGGAGAAGGGAGAAGGGUACCCCCCUGUCCUCCCCCUCUAU
rnacentral:lncRNA from 1 species